rnacentral:rRNA from 1 species
UACGAGGGGGGCGAGCGUUGUUCGGAAUUAUUGGGCGUAAAGGGUGCGUAGGCGGUUUGGUAAGUCUUGUGUGAAAUCUACAGGCUCAACUUGUAGUCUGCACGAGAAACUGCCGGGCUUGAGUGUGGGAGAGGUGAGUGGAAUUCCUGGUGUAGCGGUGAAAUGCGUAGAUAUCAGGAGGAACACCUGUGGCGAAAGCGGUUCUCUGGGCCUGUACUGACGCUGAGGAGCGAAAGCGUGGGGAGCAAACAGG